ACAUGCCUACAAUAUAUAUUUAAUGCACUAGAUCCCAUAAGAACUCCACAUUUAAGCACACUUAGGCUAGAGUAGUACUGGGAUGAGUGACCUCCCGUGAAGUCCUAGUGUUUUACAUGCC
rnacentral:rRNA from 1 species